rnacentral:rRNA from 1 species
UACGUAGGGGGCAAGCGUUGUCCGGAAUCAUUGGGCGUAAAGAGCGUGUAGGCGGUUCGGUAAGUCGGCUGUGAAAGUCCAGGGCUCAACCCUGGGAUGCCGGUCGAUACUGCCGGACUAGAGUUCGGAAGAGGCGAGUGGAAUCCCGGUGUAGCGGUGAAAUGCGCAGAUAUCGGGAGGAACACCUAUGGCGAAGGCAGCUCGCUGGGACGUUACUGACGCUGAGACGCGAAAGCGUGGGGAGCAAACAGG